CCUACGGGUGGCAGCAGUGAGGAAUAUUGGUCAAUGGGCGCGAGCCUGAACCAGCCAAGUAGCGUGAAGGAUGACUGCCCUACGGGUUGUAAACUUCUUUUAUAAAGGAAUAAAGUGAGGCACGUGUGCCUUUUUGUAUGUACUUUAUGAAUAAGGAUUGGCUAACUCCGUGCCAGCAGCCGCGGUAAUACGGAGGAUCCGAGCGUUAGCCGGAUUUAUUGGGUUUAAAGGGAGCGUAGAUGGGUUGUUAAGUCAGUUGUGAAAGUUUGCGGCUCAACCGUAAAAUUGCAAUUGAUACUGGCAGCCUUGAGUACAGUUGAGGUAGGCGGAAUUCGUGGUGUAGCGUUGAAAUGCUUAGAUAUCACGAAGAACUCCGAUUGCGAAGGCAGCUUACUAAUCUGCCACUGACAUUGAUGCUCGAAAGUGUGGGUAUCAAACAGGAUUAGAUACCCCUGUGUC
rnacentral:rRNA from 1 species